AGAAAAAUGGUGGUUUGUGUUCUAGGGUUCUAAUACCAAUUCAAUUUUCAAACAGUUACAAUCUUUCCAUCGAGAUAUUUUCCAACCAGAAAUGAAUUAACAGAAGUGUUGAUAAUCAUUUGCAUAUGGUUGAUUUCCACCUGACACAGCUCAUACCAUGAAGAUGAUCAAAAAUAUUUUUAUCAAAAAUAGAAACAUCAGCAGCAAGAUGAUUUUUUCUGCAUAGAAUAUCAAAAGUC
rnacentral:lncRNA from 1 species